rnacentral:rRNA from 1 species
GGGAACCUCACCCGGCCCGGACACCGCGAGGAUUGACAGACUGAGAGCUCUUUCUCGAUUCGGUGGGUGGUGGUGCAUGGCCGUUCUUAGUUGGUGGAGCGAUCUGUCUGGUUAAUUCCGAUAACGAACGAGACCCCAACCUGCUAACUAGCCCUCGGGUCCUGCUUCUGUUGGGCCCGACGGAAUGAUUCGCUUCUUAGAGGGACUGGCGACUCUUAGUCGCACAAGAUUGAGCAAUAA